UACGUAGGGGGCAAGCGUUGUCCGGAUUUACUGGGCGUAAAGAGCGUGUAGGCGGCCAAACAGGUCCGUUGUGAAAACUGGAGGCUUAACCUCCAGACGUCGACGGAAACCGUAUGGCUAGAGUCCGGAAGAGGAGAGUGGAAUUCCUGGUGUAGCGGUGAAAUGCGCAGAUAUCAGGAAGAACACCCGUGGCUAAGGCGGCUCUCUAGUACGGUACUGACGCUGAGACGCGAAAGCGUGGGGAGCGAACAGG
rnacentral:rRNA from 1 species